rnacentral:rRNA from 1 species
GUGCCAGCAGCCGCGGUAAUACGUAGGGGGCGAGCGUUGUCCGGAGUUACUGGGCGUAAAGCGCACGCAGGCGGUCUGCUAAGUUUGGAGUGACAGUUGAUGGCUCAACCAUCAAAGUGCUUCGAAAACUGACAGACUUGAGGGCUUCAGAGGGACACGGAAUUCCGGGUGGAGUGGUGAAAUGCGUAGAGAUCCGGAGGAACACCGAAGGCGAAGGCAGUGUCCUGGGGAGUACCUGACGCUCAGGUGCGAAAGCUAGGGGAGCGAACGGGAUUAGAUACCCCCGUAGUCC